UACGGAGGGUGCAAGCGUUGUCCGGAAUCACUGGGCGUAAAGGGCGCGUAGGCGGCUCAUGAAGGCUGUGGUGAAAGUCCGGGGCUCAACCUCGGAUCGGCCGUGGCGACUCGUGGGCUGGAGCACUGUAGAGGCGGGUGGGAAUUCCGGGUGUAGCGGUGGAAUGCGUAGAGAUCCGGAAGAACACCAGUGGCGAAGGCGGCCCGCUGGGCAGUGGCUGACGCUGAGGCGCGACAGCGUGGGGAGCAAACAGG
rnacentral:rRNA from 1 species